GACGGGGGGAGCAAGCGUUGUUCGGAUUUACUGGGCGUAAAGGGCGUCUAGGCGGAUUGCCAAGUCAUGUGUGAAACCCCCCGGCUCAACCGGGGACCGGCACGUGAUACUGGUAGUCUUGAGUACGAAAGAGGGAAGCGGAAUUCCUGGUGUAGCGGUGAAAUGCGUAGAUAUCAGGAAGAACACCGGUGGCGAAGGCGGCUUUCUAGUUCGAUACUGACGCUGAAGCGCGAAAGUGUGGGGAG
rnacentral:rRNA from 1 species